rnacentral:rRNA from 1 species
GCUUAGCCCUAAACUAAAAUAGUUACAUAACAAAACUAUUUGCCAGAGAACUACUAGCCAUAGCUUAAAMUCAAAGGACUUGGCGGUACUUUAUAUCCAUCUAGAGGAGCCUGUUCUAUAAUCGAUAUACCCCGCUUUACCUCACCAUCCCUUGCUAAUUCAGCCUAUAUACCGCCAUCUUCAGCAAACCCUUAAAAGGUCUCAAAGUAAGCAAGAGAACAACCAUAAAAACGUUAGGUCAAGGUGUAGCCAAUGAGAUGGGAAGCAAUGGGCUACAUUUUCUAUUUAAGAACAUUACGAUACCCUUUAUGAAACUAAAGGACAAAGGAGGAUUUAGUAGUAAAUUAAGAAUAGAGAGCUUAAUUGAAUAGAGCAAUGAAGUACGC